UGAGGAAUAUUGGUCAAUGGGCGCAAGCCUGAACCAGCCACCCCGCGUGCAGGAAGACGGCGCUAUGCGUUGUAAACUGCUUUUCCAGGGGGAGAAACUUGCGCACGUGUUGCGCAAUUGACGGUACCCUGGGAAUAAGCAUCGGCUAACUCCGUGCCAGCAGCCGCGGUAAUACGGAGGAUGCGAGCGUUAUCCGGAUUCAUUGGGUUUAAAGGGUGCGUAGGCGGACUAUUAAGUCAGUGGUGAAAUCCUGCAGCUUAACUGCAGAACUGCCAUUGAUACUGAUAGCCUUGAGUUUGGUUAAGGUAGGCGGAAUGUGUAGUGUAGCGGUGAAAUGCUUAGAUAUUACACAGAACACCAAUUGCGUAGGCAGCUUACUGAGCCGACACUGACGCUGAGGCACGAAAGCGUGGGGAUCGAACAG
rnacentral:rRNA from 1 species